UAGUAACGGCGAGUGAAGAGGGAAAAGCUCAAAUUUUGAAUCUGGUGUCUUUGACUCCCGAGUUGUAAUCUAGAGAAGUGUUUUCCGUGUCGGACCACGUAUAAGUUCCCUGGAACGGGGCGUCAUAGAGGGUGAGAAUCCCGUAUAUGCCGUGGACUACCGAUGCUCUGUGAUACACUCUCAACGAGUCGAGUUGUUUGGGAAUGCAGCGCAAAAUGGGUGGUAAAUUCCAUCUAAAGCUAAAUAUUGGCGAGAGACCGAUAGCGAACAAGUACCGUGAGGGAAAGAUGAAAAGCACUUUGGAAAGAGAGUGAAACAGUACGUGAAAUUGUUGAAAGGGAAGCGUUUGAAGUCAGUCACGUUUGUUGGGAUUCAGCCUGGCUUCUGCCUGGUGUAUUUCCUAGCCGAUGGGUCAGCAUCAGUUUCGACCAAGGGAAAAAGACAUUUGGAAUGUGGCUGUCUUCGGGCAGUGUUAUAGCCUUGUGUUGUAUGCCUUGGUUGGGACUGAGGAAUGCAGCGCGCCUUAUGGCCGGGGGUCGCUCCUCUCGACACGCGCUUAGGA
rnacentral:rRNA from 1 species